AGUUCGGCGGUCCGCGGGUCUGUCUCUUGCUUCAACAGUGUUUGGACGGAACAGAUCCGGGGACUCUCUUCCAGCCUCUGACCACCCUCCGAUUUCCUCUCCACUUGCAACCUCCGGGACCAUCUUCUCGGCCAUCUCCUGCUUCUGGGACCUGCCAGCACCGUUUUUGUCGUUAGCUCCUUCUUGCCAACCAACCAUGAGCUCCCAGAUUCAUCAGAAUUAUUCCACCGACGUGGAGGCAGCCGUCAACAGCCUGGUCAAUUUGUACCUGCAGGCCUCCUACACCUACCUCUCUCUGGGCUUCUAUUUCAACCGCGAUGAUGUGGCUCUGGAAGGCGUGAGCCACUUCUUCCGCGAAUUGGCUGAGGAGAAGCGUGAGGGCUACGAGCAUCUCCUGAAGAUGCAAAACCAGCGUGGAGGCCGCGCUCUCUUCCAGGACAUCAAGAAGCCAGCUGAAGAUGAGUGGGGUAAAACCCCAGACGCCAUGAAAGCUGCCAUGGCCCUGGAGAAAAAGCUAAACCAGGCCCUUUUGGAUCUUCAUGCCCUGGGUUCUGCCCGCACAGACCCCCAUCUCUGUGACUUCCUGGAGACUCACUUCCUAGAUGAGGAAGUGAAGCUCAUCAAGAAGAUGGGUGACCACCUAACCAACCUCCACAGGCUGGGUGGCCCGGAGGCCGGGCUGGGCAAGUAUCUCUUCGAAAGGCUUACUCUCAAGCAUGACUAAGAGCCUUCUGAGCCCAGCGAUUUCUGAAGGGCCCCUUGCAAAGUAAUAGGGCUUCUGCCUAAGCCUCUCCCUCCAGCCAAUAGGCAGCUUUCUUAACUACCCUAACAAGCUUUGGACCAAAUGGAAAUAAAGCUUUUUGAUG